rnacentral:pre_miRNA from 1 species
AGCCUUCUGUAUUCUUGUUGAGAUUUCGUCAGCGAUCAAUCCGCUAGUGCUGGCUGAUGCAAUUCCUCAAAUAAGUGAAGGG